rnacentral:rRNA from 1 species
AGUGAAUAGAUACCCGGGUAGUCCACGCCCUAAACGAUGCACACUAGAUCGGUGCCGGUUUCACCCGGUAUUGGUCGUAGAGAAAAUUGAUAAGUGUGCCGCCUGGGGAGUACGGUCGCAAGGCUAAAACUCAAAGAAAUUGACGGGGGCGUCACACAAGCGGUGGAGCAUGUUGCUUAAUUCGAAGCAACGCGAAGAACCUUACCUGGGUUUGACAUGCACGGAUUAGUUCCUGGAAACAGGAAUGAGGCCCGCAAGGGUACAACGUGCACAGGUGCUGCAUGGCUGUCGUCAGCUCGUGCGGUGAAGUGUUUGGUUAAGUCCAUUAACGAGCGCAACCCCUGUCGCUAGUUGCUAACGGGUAAUGCCGAGGACUCUAGCGAGACUGCCGCUGUAAAGCGGAGGAAGGUGGGGAUGACGUCAAGUCCUCAUGGCCCUUACAUCCAGGGUUGCAAACGUGCUACAAUGGCGCGUACAAAGCGACGCGAGGCCGCAAGGCGGAGCAAAUCGCAAAAAACCGCG